AUUGAACGCUGGCGGCAGGCUUAACACAUGCAAGUCGAGCUAGUCGCGGACUGGUGUGUAAUGUCUGGGAAACUGCCCGAUGGAGGGGGAUCACUACUGGAAACUGUAGAUAAUACCGCAUACCUUCUGAUGUGCCCACAUGGGAUUUGCUUGUAGGUGGGGUAAUGGCUCACCUAGGCGACGAUCCCUAGCUGGUCUGAGAGGAUGACCAGCCACACUGGAACUGAGACACGGUCUAGACUCCUACGGGAGGCAGCAGUGGGGAAUAUUGCACUAUGGGGGGAAGCCUGAGGCAGCCAUGCUGCGUGUGUGAAGAAGGCCUUCGGGUUGUAAAGCACUUUCAGCGAGGAGGCGUUAUUUGCAGAAGAAGCACCGGCUAACUCCGUGCCAGCAGCCGCGGUAAUUC
rnacentral:rRNA from 1 species